GCCAUAUCUCUGCCCUCAAAACCCUUCCCCUGCUCCAAUGGCAACGAAAUGAAGGGGCUUCAACGACGCCACACCGGUAUGGAGAUCGUGAAAGGGGUGCGUCGGGGUUGCUGAACGUGCGAGCAACGACGUGCGUGGAAACGGUUGCUGCGGCGCCAAAGCUAGGAAGAAGACUGCUGCUAGGGUUUGUUGUUCUUUGAAAAAUUUUGGGCUGUACAGGGUUAUUGAUUUGGGCUUUAUUGGGUUAGGUUAAAUUUAGUUUUAGGCUAAUGUAAUUGGGUUACAAUUUGGGCUUGUUAUUUGUUUUUUUAACCAGGCCAAAAUUGGCCUAUUACAUUACCCAUGAUUCUUAUCUAGUGAAUACUACUCUAAAAAAGAAGCAGUGUUCUUAUCUCCCAAUAGAUAAAUGAUUUUUAAUAUACCAACCACUUUGUAGAGACCUUUAAUUGGUGCUUCAAGAUAUAUAUAACUAACUAUAUUCCUAAUC